rnacentral:rRNA from 1 species
CUAACUACUAUAAGACUGGGAUAACUUCGGGAAACCGGAGCUAAUACCGGAUAAUAUUUUGAACCGCAUGGUUCAAAAGUGAAAGACGGUCUUGCUGUCACUUAUAGAUGGAUCCGCGCUGCAUUAGCUAGUUGGUAAGGUAACGGCUUACCAAGGCAACGAUGCAUAGCCGACCUGAGAGGGUGAUCGGCCACACUGGAACUGAGACACGGUCCAGACUCCUACGGGAGGCAGCAGNG